GAUGGAACGAAUGCUAAAAUCGUCACGUCCUGUGACAACGCAUUCGUGACCAACAUCGUGUU
rnacentral:sRNA from 1 species